UGGCUCUCGCAUCGAUGAAGAACGCAGCGAAUCGCGAUAUGUAAUGUGAAUUGCAGAUCUACAGUGAAUCAUCGAAUCUUUGAACGCACCUUGCGCUUAUCGGUGUUCCGAUGAGCAUGCCUGUUUGAGCGUCAUUAAAUUCUCAACCCCUCUCGAUUUGCUUCGAAAGGGUGCUUGGAUUGUGGAGGCUGCCGGAGACCUGUUUUUUCAGGACUCGGGCUCCUCUGAAAUGUAUUGGCUUGCGGUCGACUUUCGACUGUGCAUGACAAGGCCUUUGGCGUGAUAAUGAUCGCCGCUCGCCGAAGUGCACGAAUGAAUGGUCUCGUGCCUCUAAUCAGUCGAUGUCUUUUCGAAGGCGUCUUCCUUAUUGACGUUUGACCUCAAAUCAGGUAGGACUACCCGCUGA
rnacentral:misc_RNA from 1 species